GCAAUACUCCGUCCGUCCGGAAAUACUUGUUCUACAAAUGGUUGUAUUUAGACUCAUUUUUAGUUAUAGAUACAUCCAUUUUAUCCAUUUUCAGGACAAGUAUUUCCGGACGAAGGGAGUAUAUA
rfam:Triticum aestivum genome assembly, contig: Triticum_aestivum_CS42_TGACv1_scaffold_528556_6DL